rnacentral:rRNA from 1 species
AUUGAACGCUGGAGGCAGGCCUAACACAUGCAAGUCGAGCGAGCGGCGGACGGGUGAGUAAUGUCUGGGAAACUGCCUGAUGGAGGGGGCUAACUACUGGCAACGGUAGCUAAUACCGCAUACCAUCAUCUUUGCCCAGAUGGGAUUAGCUAGGAGGUGGGGUAACGGCUUCCCUAGGCGACGAUCCCUAGCUGGUUUGGGAGGAUGACCAGACACACUGGAACUGGGACACGGUCCAGACUCAUACGGGAGGCAGCAGUGGGGAAUAUUGCACAAUGGGCGCAAGCAUGAUGCAGCCAUGCCGCGUUUGUGAAGAAGGCUGUCGGGUUGUAAAGCACUUUCAGCGGGGAGGCGUUACCCGCAGAAGAAGCACCGGCUAACUCCGUGCCAGCAGCCGCGGUAAUUC